UUCACCUACGGGGCGCAGCAGUGGGGAAUAUUGCACAAUGGGGGAAACCCUGAUGCAGCGACGCCGCGUGAGUGAAGAAGUAUUUCGGUAUGUAAAGCUCUAUCAGCAGGGAAGAUAAUGACGGUACCUGACUAAGAAGCUCCGGCUAAAUACGUGCCAGCAGCCGCGGUAAUACGUAUGGAGCAAGCGUUAUCCGGAUUUACUGGGUGUACAGGGAGCGCAGACGGCAAGGCAAGUCUGAUGUGAACGUCCGAUGCUCAACC
rnacentral:rRNA from 1 species